GCGUGGCGGGCAGGCUACACAUGCAGUCGAGCGCGCCUUCGGGUGAGCGGCGGACGGGUUAGUAACGCGUGGGAACGUACCCUUUUCUACGGAAUAGCCUUUGGAAACGAAGAGUAAUACCGUAUACGCCCUUUGGGGGAAAGAUUUAUCGGAGAAGGAUCGGCCCGCGUUAGAUUAGAUAGUUGGUGGGGUAACGGCCUACCAAGUCUACGAUCUAUAGCUGGUUUUAGAGGAUGAUCAGCAACACUGGGACUGAGACACGGCCCAGACUCCUACGGGAGGCAGCAGUGGGGAAUCUUAGACAAUGGGCGCAAGCCUGAUCUAGCCAUGCCGCGUGAGUGAUGAAGGCCUUAGGGUCGUAAAGCUCUUUCGCCUGUGAUGAUAAUGACAGUAGCAGGUAAAGAAACCCCGGCUAACUCCGUGCCAGCAGCCGCGGUAAUACGGAGGGGGUUAGCGUUGUUCGGAAUUACUGGGCGUAAAGCGCACGUAGGCGGAUUGGAAAGUUGGGGGUGAAAUCCCGGGGCUCAACCCCGGAACUGCCUCCAAAACUAUCAGUCUAGAGUUCGAGAGAGGUGAGUGGAAUUCCAAGUGUAGAGGUGAAAUUCGUAGAUAUUUGGAGGAACACCAGUGGCGAAGGCGGCUCACUGGCUCGAUACUGACGCUGAGGUGCGAAAGUGUGGGGAGCAAACAGGAUUAGAUACCCUGGUAGUCCACACCGUAAACGAUGAAUGCCAGUCGUCGGGCAGUAU
rnacentral:rRNA from 1 species